GGGGAAUUUUCCGCAAUGGGCGAAAGCCUGACGGAGCAAUACCGCGUGAGGGAGGAAGGCUCUUGGGUUGUAAACCUCUUUUCUCAGGGAAUAAGAACUGAAGGUACCUGAGGAAUCAGCAUCGGCUAACUCCGUGCCAGCAGCCGCGGUAAUACGGAGGAUGCAAGCGUUAUCCGGAAUGAUUGGGCGUAAAGCGUCCGCAGGUGGUUUAUCAAGUCUGCUGUCAAAGAGUUUGGCUCAACCAAAUAAAGGCAGUGGAAACUGACAGACUGGAGUGCGGUAAGGGCAGAGGGAAUUCCUGGUGUAGCGGUGAAAUGCGUAGAGAUCAGGAAGAACACCGGUGGCGAAAGCGCUCUGCUGGGCCGUAACUGACACUGAGGGACGAAAGCUAGGGGAGCGAAUGGGAUUAGAUACCCCAGUAGUCA
rnacentral:rRNA from 1 species